rnacentral:lncRNA from 1 species
CCCAUUUGUAACUAGUGACACCACUGCCGAGAAACAAGAAAGUAGAGUGCCUUGUCCCCUUUUCAGGUUAAAGUAUUGCAUUCUUAAGAGAAAAAUUGUAGAAAGAAAAGAGCUCUUGAACCUCUGGAGCAAGAUAUCCAGUGAAGGAUCAGAAAUCUAUACUUUGCUUAGCUGUGCUCAGGAGAACCGGAGACAGAAGAUUUUGUUCCCACUUGUGGCAGAGAAUUCAAGGGGAUGCAGACAUUUCUGGGGGCAGGCUGGUGGCAGAGGAAUUUGAUGGAAAAACCUCAGCUGUUUUAACAGGAGAACUGAGAGCAGCAAUAGGACCUAAACCUGAGGUCUGAUAGAUCACGCACAUGGAACUCACACACUUGUGCAUCACUCAGGACUUGGUUCUGUGACCAGAAAUGAAUAAAACUCAAAGGUGGAAUUGUUAAUACACACAGGAAUUUUUGUCAUCUCCCGUCUGUAAUAAAAGAGAAAUUCUAUUUCAAGUUCUGUAUUCCUUGUGAGAUUAUAUGCUAAUGUUAAUUCACAAGGUCCUUGAAUACAUAUAGGAUAGAUUUGCACAAACAGCUCAGCAUGUAAGUUUAUCAGUAACUAUGUAUCAGUAGGCUCAUUUCCAGGGAUUGCUUACAUGGAAUGAAUCCUGUGUCUACAAUAGCCUUUGUCAUUGCUAUUGUCUCCCCCAUCUCUAACUAGAUAGCCCUCCUGUGUCGUUCCAGUGACCAAGAAGCAAAUAUGAAAAAUGAACCAUCAAUCAAUUUAAUAUUAGAUUUUCUUUCACACAGAAACCUCCACUCAGUGAUGAUGACUGACAUAAGAGCUAAAUCCACCUGCCUUAUCAUUCCUCUCCAAAAGGACAAGUCUAAAAAGAAGAGAAGAGGAGAAAUACUUAGGAUUAGCCUGAACUUUUGCCACUGGUCUGCUGUUGUACUAAUAAUCUAUCUUUGUAGAGGGAGGAAGUCAACUGCUAGACUAGUCCUCUUCC